rnacentral:rRNA from 1 species
UGAAUACGAGACGCUAAGGCGUCGAAGUAGUGUAUGUCAUACUUCCAAGAAAAGCUUGCACUGUCAUAGAUAAAAAACGCCUGUACCAUAACCGACACAGGUGGGUAGGUAGAGUAUACUAAGGGGCGCGAGAUAACUCUCUCUAAGGAACUCGGCAAAAUAACUCCGUAACUUCGGGAGAAGGAGUGCCUUAUUCGUAAGGUUGCAAUAACAAGAUCCAAGCAACUGUUUAUCAAAAACACAGGUCUCCGCUAAGUCGUAAGACGAUGUAUGGGGGCUGACGCCUGCCCAGUGCCAGAAGGUUAAAGAAGUUGGUUAGCAAUUGCGAAGCUGAUAACUGAAGCCCUGGUGAACGGCGGCCGUAACAAUAACGGUCCUAAGGUAGCGAAAUUCCUUGUCGGGUAAGUUCCGACCCGCACGAAAGGCGUAAUGAUUUGGAUACUGUCUCGGAGAGGGGCUCGGUGAAAUAGACUUGUCUGUGAAGAUGCGGACUACCUGCACCAGGACAGAAAGACCCUAUGAAGCUUUACUGUAACUUGAAAUUGAAAUUGGACUUUAUUCGCGCAGUAUAGGUGGGAGGCGUUGAUUAUAAUCUUGUGGGAUUAUUGGAGCCAUCAGUGAGAUACCACUCUUGUAAUGUUAGAUUUCUAACUUUGAAUCAUUAUCUGGUCAAAGAACAGUUUCAGGCGGGCAGUUUGGCUGGGGCGGUCGCCUCCUAAACGGUAACGGAGGCGUACAAAGGUUUCCUCUGAACGGUUAGAAAUCGUAUCUAGAGUGUAAAGGCAUAAGGAAGCUUGACUGUGAGACCUACAAGUCGAGCAGGGACGAAAGUCGGUCUUAGUGAUCUGACGGUACUGAGUGGAAAGGCCGUCACUCAACGGAUAAAAGUUACUCUAGGAUAACAGGCUGAUCUCCCCCAAGAGUUCACAUCGACGGGGAGGUUUGGCACCUCGAUGUCGGCUCAUCGCAUCCUGGGGCGGUAGUACGUCCCAAGGGUUGGGCUGUUCGCCCAUGAAAGCGGUACGCGAGCUGGGUUCAGAACGUCGUGAGACAGUUCGGUCCAUAUCCGGUGUAGGCGUUAGAAUAUUGAGAGGAGCCUUCUUUAGUACGAGAGGACCGAGAAGGACAUACCUCUGGUGUACCAGUUAUCGUGCCAACGGUAAACGCUGGGUAGCUAUGUAUGGAGUGGAUAACCGCUGAAAGCAUCUAAGUGGGAAGCCCACCUCAAGAUAAGUAUUCUCA